UACUUGUACAAUGAGCGGUUAGA
rnacentral:miRNA from 1 species